rnacentral:rRNA from 1 species
UACGGAGGGUGCAAACGUUGUUCGGAAUUACUGGGCGUAAAGCGCGUGUAGGCGGCCCUGCAAGUCGGAUGUGAAAUCCCACGGCUCAACCGUGGAAGUGCAUUCGAAACUGCAGGGCUAGAGUCCUGGAGAGGAAGGUGGAAUGCUUGGUGUAGAGGUGAAAUUCGUAGAUAUCAAGCGGAACACCGGUGGCGAAGGCGGCCUUCUGGACAGUGACUGGACGCUGAGACGC